AUUGAACGCUGGCGGCAUGCUUUACACAUGCAAGUCGAACGGCAGCGCGGGCUUCGGCCUGGCGGCGAGUGGCGAACGGGUUAGUAAUACAUCGGCACGUUCCCAGUAGUGGGGGAUAGCUCGGCGAAAGCCGGAUUAAUACCGCAUACGACCUGAGGGUGAAAGCGGGGUUUCUUCCUACCUCGCGCUAUUGCAGCGGCCGAUGGCAGUUUAGCUAGUUGGUGGGGUAAUGGCCUACCAAGGCGACGAUCUGUAGCUGGUCUGAGAAGACGACCCGCCACAGUGGGAGUGAGAAAGGGCCCAGAGUCAUACGGGAGGCAGCAGUGGGAAAUAGUGGACAAGGAGCGAAAGCAAGAGACAGAAAUGCCGCGUGUGUAAGGAGGGCCUUCGAGGUGGAAAGCACGAUUGGAGGGAACGAAAAGGACGGUGAAAAUACCACGAGUGGAAGAAGGUACCCGCAGAAUAAGCACCGGCUAACUACGUG
rnacentral:rRNA from 1 species